rnacentral:rRNA from 1 species
UCGAGGAUCUUCGGCAAUGGGCGAAAGCCUGACCGAGCGACGCCGCGUGCGGGAUGAAGGCCUUCGGGUUGUAAACCGCUGUCAGUGAGGAGGAAGGCUCCGUGAAGAGCGGGGUUUGACCUAUUCGCAGAGGAAGGGUGGGCUAAGCUCGUGCCAGCAGCCGCGGUAAGACGAGCCACCCAAACGUUAUUCGGAAUUACUGGGCUUAAAGGGUGCGUAGGCGGUGCGGAAAGUAGGGUGUGAAAUCCCUCGGCUCAACCGAGGAACAGCGCUCUAAACUACCGUGCUUGAGGGAGAUAGAGGUAAGCGGAACUUCGGGUGGAACGGUGAAAUGUGUUGAUAUCCGAAGGAACACCGGUGGCGAAAGCGGCUUACUGGAUCUUCUCUGACGCUGAGGCACGAAAGCUAGGGUAGCAAACGG